UAUAUUUAAGUGUUAGUGCACGAAAGUUUUUGAUGCUUUUAGUUUUAGUUUAAAUCUAUUAAAUAUAA
rnacentral:tRNA from 1 species